rnacentral:rRNA from 1 species
GCAUGUCUAAGUAUAAGCAAAUUAUACAGCGAAACUGCGAAUGGCUCAUUAUAUAAGUUAUCGUUUAUUUGAUAGUGCCUUACUACUUGGAUAACCGUGGUAAUUCUAGAGCUAAUACAUGCUAAAACGCCCGACUUCGGAAGGGUUGUAUUUAUUAGAUUAAAAACCAAUGCCCUCUGGGCUCACUGGUGAUUCAUAAUAACUUCGCGAAUCGCAUGGCCUUGCGCCGGCGAUGGCUCAUUCAAAUUUCUUCCCUAUCAACUUUCGAUGUUUGGGUAGUGGCCAAACAUGGUUGCAACGGGUAACGGAGGGUUAGGGCUCGACCCCGGAGAAGGAGCCUGAGAAACGGCUACUACAUCCAAGGAAGGCAGCAGGCGCGCAAAUUACCCAAUCCGAUUCGGGGAGGUAGUGACAAUAAAUACUGAUACAGGGCUCUUUUGGGUCUGUAAUUGGAAUGAGUACAAUUUAAAUCCCUUAACCAGGAACAAUUAGAGGGCAAGUCUGGUGCCAGCAGCCGCGGUAAUUCCAGCUCUAAUAGCGUAUAUUAAAGUUGUUGUGGUUAAAAAGCUCGUAGUUGAACCUUGGGCCUGGCUGGCUGGUCCGCCUCACCGCGUGUACUUUGCGGCCGGGCCUUUCCCUCUGUGGAACCCCAUGCCCUUCACUGGGUGUGGCGGGGAAACAGGACUUUUACUUUGAAAAAAUUAGAGUGCUCCAGGCAGGCCUAUGCUCGAAUACAUUAGCAUGGAAUAAUAAAAUAGGACGUGCGGUUCUAUUUUGUUGGUUUCUAGGACCGCCGUAAUGAUUAAUAGGGACAGUCGGGGGCAUCAGUAUUCAAUUGUCAGAGGUGAAAUUCUUGGAUUUAUUGAAGACUAACUACUGCGAAAGCAUUUGCCAAGGAUGUUUUCAUUAAUCAGGAACGAAAGUUAGGGGAUCGAAGACGAUCAGAUACCGUCGUAGUCUUAACCAUAAACUAUGCCGACUAGGGAUCGGACGAUGUUAUUACUUGACUCGUUCGGCACCUUACGAGAAAUCAAAGUGCUUGGGCUCCAGGGGGAGUAUGGUCGCAAGGCUGAAACUUAAAGAAAUUGACGGAAGGGCACACCAGGGGUGGCAUGGCGGCUUAAUUUGACUCAACACGGGGAAACUCACCAGGUCCAGACACAAUGAGGAUUGACAGAUUGAGAGCUCUUUCUUGAUUUUGUGGGUGGUGGUGCAUGGCCGUUCUUAGUUGGUGGAGUGAUUUGUCUGCUUAAUUGCGAUAACGAACGAGACCUUAACCUGCUAACUAGCCGCGUUGCUUUGGCAGCGUGCUGGCUUCUUAGAGGGACUGAUCCUCAAGCCGAUGAAGUUUGAGGCAAUAACAGGUCUGUGAUGCCCUUAGAUGUUCUGGGCGCACGCGCGCUACACUGACGGAGCCAGCGGUAUUUUCCUUGCCGGAAGGCCGGGUAAUCUUGUUAAACUCCGUCGUGAUGGGGAUAGAGCAUUGCAAUUAUUGCUCUUCAACGAGGAAUCCCUAGUAAGCGAAGUCAUCAGCUUGGUUGAUUAGUCCCUGCCCUUGUACACACGCCCGUCGCUACUACCGAUUGAAUGGCUCAGUGAGGCGUUCGGACUGGCCUAGAGAGGUGGGCAACCACUACUCAGGGCCGGAAGUUCUCCAAACUCGGUCAUUU